rnacentral:rRNA from 1 species
GACGAACGCUGGCGGCGUGCUUAACACAUGCAAGUCGAACGGAAAGGCCCUGCUUUUGUGGGGUGCUCGAGUGGCGAACGGGUGAGUAACACGUGAGUAACCUGCCCUUUACUUUGGGAUAACUUCAGGAAACUGGGGCUAAUACCGGAUAGGAGCCCCUGCUGCAUGGUGGGGGUUGGAAAGUUUCGGCGGUUGGGGAUGGACUCGCGGCUUAUCAGCUUGUUGGUGGGGUAGUGGCUUACCAAGGCUUUGACGGGUAGCCGGCCUGAGAGGGUGACCGGCCACAUUGGGACUGAGAUACGGCCCAGACUCCUACGGGAGGCAGCAGUGGGGAAUAUUGCACAAUGGGCGGAAGCCUGAUGCAGCAACGCCGCGUGCGGGAUGACGGCCUUCGGGUUGUAAACCGCUUUCGCCUGUGACGAAGCGUGAGUGACGGUAAUGGGUAAAGAAGCACCGGCUAACUACGUG